AGGUGCAUUAAUGCUGUGUGUGGACUAACUUGGGACCAAAAUUAGUCCCAAAUUAGUCCACACACAUAGUGUUAAUUCAUUUUAAUGUAU